rnacentral:pre_miRNA from 1 species
UUGUGUGUGGUGAUGAGGCAGUGUAUUGUUAGUUAGCUGUUCUUCAUACACCAGCAACUGACUACAUUGCCACAUUAGCACAUCGCUG